ensembl:snRNA U6 U6 spliceosomal RNA
GUGCUCUCUCCUUAGCAACACAGACACUGAAGUCAAAACAACACAGAGAAGAUUAGCAUGGCCCUCCCUAAAGAGGGCAUGCUAAUUCGUGAAGCAUUCCUCUUUUUA